UACGAAGGGGGCUAGCGUUGUUCGGAAUUACUGGGCGUAAAGCGCACGUAGGCGGACUACUAAGUCAGGGGUGAAAUCCCGGGGCUCAACCCCGGAACUGCCUUUGAUACUGAUAGUCUCGAGUCCGGAAGAGGUGAGUGGAAUUCCGAGUGUAGAGGUGAAAUUCGUAGAUAUUCGGAGGAACACCAGUGGCGAAGGCGGCUCACUGGUCCGGUACUGACGCUGAGGUGCGAAAGCGUGGGGGAGCAAACAGG
rnacentral:rRNA from 1 species